ACGCCCGGAAACGGGUGCUAAUACUGGAUAUUCACUGAUCUUCGCAUGGGGGUUGGUGGAAAGGUUUUUUCUGGUGGGGGAUGGGCUCGCGGCCUAUCAGCUUGUUGGUGGGGUGAUGGCCUACCAAGGCUUUGACGGGUAGCCGGCCUGAGAGGGUGACCGGUCACAUUGGGACUGAGAUACGGCCCAGACUCCUACGGGAGGCAGCAGUGGGGAAUAUUGCACAAUGGGCGAAAGCCUGAUGCAGCGACGCCGCGUGAGGGAUGGAGGCCUUCGGGUUGUAAACCUCUUUCGCUCAUGGUCAAGCCGCAACUUAGGGUUGUGGUGAGGGUAGUGGGUAAAGAAGCGCCGGCUAACUACGUGCCAGCAGCCGCGGUAAUACGUAGGGCGCGAGCGUUGUCCGGAAUUAUUGGGCGUAAAGGGCUUGUAGGCGGUUGGUCGCGUCUGCCGUGAAAUCCUCUGGCUUAACUGGGGGCGUGCGGUGGGUACGGGCUGACUUGAGUGCGGUAGGGGAGACUGGAACUCCUGGUGUAGCGGUGGAAUGCGCAGAUAUCAGGAAGAACACCGGUGGCGAAGGCGGGUCUCUGGGCCGUUACUGACGCUGAGGAGCGAAAGCGUGGGGAGCGAACAGGAUUAGAUACCCUGGUAGUCCACGCUGUAAACGUUGGGCACUAGGUGUGGGGGCCACCCGUGGUUUCUGCGCCGUAGCUAACGCUUUAAGUGCCCCGCCUGGGGAGUACGGCCGCAAGGCUAAAACUCAAAGGAAUUGACGGG
rnacentral:rRNA from 1 species